UGAAAAUGCUGUUGCGUUGGCAGACAAGCUUUGGCAAGCUGCUUCAUAGAGGCUGAAAGGAGGUUUUGCUUCCAGCUCCACUCCUCUGCUGGAAUUACUGUCUGCACAGUAAUGGGGGAAUGCAGACCUUUGACUUAGCAGCUCUGGUGCAAAGGGUAAAACAUUCACCUUUGCUAAAGGUUAAAACUGAAAUGCUUUUCUGGCAGCAUAGGUGAAUUUGCACUAAAACAUCAAACUGAGUAGAAGAAAGCGAAGCACUUGAUUCCUCCUGCUGCUCUGGUGGUUGGGAAGAUGGGAUGGAAAAGGAGCCUACUAGAUCCAUGGAUCAGGCAUGUAACAACCCUACAGUGACUGAAGUUCUGAAGUUC
rnacentral:lncRNA from 1 species